CCUCCCCCCCCCUUUUUAUCAUUUAAAUAGUGAACUAAAAGGACCAGGGCUUAUGAGGUGAUUGGUCUAUACCAUUUCCUACAGUAGAUGCAGAAAGUAGAUUGUCACAUAGUUGGUCACAUAGUUGGUGACAUAGUUGGUCAAUGCCAAGAGGUGAACCGGUAAGUCACUGGCUAUGUUCUUGAGACUUACUUCUGACCGAGAGAUGACUUGGUUGGAGGCCUCACCCAAAUAUUUGUACUACAUAAGUCAGCUAUUGUGAUGAAAUAAUUAGAAAUCAAAAUUACGUGAAAGGAAUGUGUCUUCAUUCUUACUGUACAAAGACUAAAUUGAUGACCGAAAUAGGUUCUGUAUUAAAAUGUACAUAUCAUCAAACUAAUAGAUUCAAUUCUCUUGAAUUC